rnacentral:rRNA from 1 species
CUAAAGUUUUUUUUGGAGGGUCCCUUGCUACUUGGAUAACCGUAGUAACUCUAGAGCUAAUACAUGCAUCAAUCCCUGACUUCCUGGAAGGGGUGUACUUAUUAGAUGGAAACCAGUGCGGGUUCGCCCGGAUCAUGGUGAUUCAUAAUAAUUUUCGGAUCGAUCAAUUGAUCGAUGCAUCACUCAAGUUUCUGCCCUAUCAGCUUUGGAUGGUAGGGUAUUGGCCUACCAUGGCAUUAACGGGUAACGGAGAAUUAGGGUUCGAUUCCGGAGAGGGCGCCUGAGAAACGGCGACCAGUUCCAAGGAAGGCAGCAGGCGCGUAAAUUACCCAAUCCUGACACAGGGAGGUAGUGACAAUAAAUAACAAUGUCGGGCCUUCGGGUUUGACAAUUGGAAUGAGAACAAUUUAAAUCCCUUAUCGAGGAUCAAUUGGAGGGCAAGUCUGGUGCCAGCAGCCGCGGUAAUUCCAGCUCCAAUAGCGUAUACUAAAGUUGUUGCAGUUAAAAAGCUCGUAGCUGAAUCUCUGGUUUCGGAGUGCGGUCUGCCCCGUGGGGUAAGUAUCAGCGCUCGGGAGCCAUCCUCGAGGAGAACAUGCCUGUGAUUGAGUUCAUGGGUAUGGGAGCCUCGUCUUUUACUGUGAGCAAACUAGAGUGUUCAAAGCAGGCUUACGCCGUUGAAUACAUUAGCAUGGAAUAAUAAAAUAGGACUCUGGUCUAUUUUGUUGGUUAGUACUCCAGGGUAAUGAUUAAUAGGGACAGUUGGGGGUAUUCGUAUUCAAUUGUCAGAGGUGAAAUUCUUGGAUUUAUGGAAGACGAACUACUGCGAAAGCAUUUUACCAAGGAUGUUUUCAUUAAUCAAGAACCGAAAGUUAGGGGGAUCGAAGAUGAUUAGAUACUAUCGUAGUUCUUAACCAUAACUAUGCCCGACUAGGGAUUGGGUGGGUUGUUUAUUUUGACCUCAUUC